AACGAACGCUGGCGGCAUGCCUAACACAUGCAAGUCGAACGAGACCUUCGGGUCUAGUGGCGCACGGGUGCGUAACGCGUGGGAACCUGCCCUUAGGUUCGGAAUAACUCCCCGAAAGGGGUGCUAAUCCCGGAUAAUGUCUUCGGACCAAAGAUUUAUCGCCUUUGGAUGGGCCCGCGUUGGAUUAGCUAGUUGGUAGGGUAAAAGCCUACCAAGGCGACGAUCCAUAGCUGGUCUGGGAGGAUGAUCAGCCACACUGGGACUGAGACACGGCCCAGACACCUACGGGAGGCAGCGGUGGGGAGUAUUGGACAAUGGGCGAAAGCGUGAUCCAGCAAUGCCGCGUGAGUGAAGAAGGCCUUAGGGUUGUAAAGCUCUUUUACCCGGGAUGAUAAUGACAGUACCGGGAGAAUAAGCUCCGGCUAACUCCGUG
rnacentral:rRNA from 1 species